rnacentral:rRNA from 1 species
GUAUGUCCCGAGCGNUAUCCGGAUUUAUUGGGCGUAAAGCGAGCGCAGACGGUUUAUUAAGUUUGAUGUGAAAGCCCGGAGCUCAACUCCGGAAUGGCAUUGGAAACUGGUUAACUUGAGUGCAGUAGAGGUAAGUGGAACUCCAUGUGUAGCGGUGGAAUGCGUAGAUAUAUGGAAGAACACCAGUGGCGAAGGCGGCUUACUGGACUGCAACUGACGUUGAGGCUCGAAAGUGUGGGUAGCAAACAGGAUUAGAUACCCUGGUAGUCCACACCGUAAACGAUGAACACUAGGUGUUAGGAGGUUUCCGCCUCUUAGUGCCGAAGCUAACGCAUUAAGUGUUCCGCCUGGGGAGUACGACCGCAAGGUUGAAACUCAAAGGAAUUGACGGGGACCCGCACAAGCGGUGGAGCAUGUGGUUUAAUUCGAAGCAACGCGAAGAACCUUACCAGGUCUUGACAUCCUUUGAAGCUUUUAGAGAUAGAAGUGUUCUCUUCGGAGACAAAGUGACAGGUGGUGCAUGGUCGUCGUCAGCUCGUGUCGUGAGAUGUUGGGUUAAGUCCCGCAACGAGCGCAACCCUUAUUGUUAGUUGCCAGCAUUCAGAUGGGCACUCUAGCGAGACUGCCGGUGACAAACCGGAGGAAGGCGGGGACGACGUCAGAUCAUCAUGCCCCUUAUGACCUGGGCUACACACGUGCUACAAUGGCGUAUACAACGAGUUGCCAACCCGCGAGGGUGAGCUAAUCUCUUAAAGUACGUCUCAGUUCGGAUUGUAGUCUGCAACUCGACUACAUGAAGUCGGAAUCGCUAGUAAUCGCGGAUNCCAGCAGCCGCGGUAAUACGUUCCCGGGUCUUGUACACACCGCCCGUCACACCAUGGGAGUUUGUAAUGCCCAAAGCCGGUGGCCUAACCUUUUAGGAAGAGCCUCUAGG